GUGCUCACUUCAGCAGCACAUACACUGAAAUUGGAACAAGACAGAGAAGAUUAGCAUGGCCCCUGUGCAACAAUGACACGCAAACUUGUGAAGGGUUCUGUAUUUUU
ensembl:snRNA U6 U6 spliceosomal RNA